rnacentral:sRNA from 1 species
GUGUCUGGGCCUGACUUGGAGAGCAGCAGCAGCAGCAGCAGCAGCAGCAGCAGCAGCAACCUGGCCUCACACCUGGGCUCUCCCGUCCUGGAUGAGGUGAACAACUUCCCUUGGAACCUGCAGAGCUCACGGGGAUCUGAGGAGGGUGUGGCUCAGUCAGACUCGGGUCUCAGAGAUCAACACUUCAGCCCCUUCUUAGUUCCUCACAUGUCCCACAUGCAGAGCCCUGACGAGGAGCAGUCAGAAAGUGAAGACUACUCUGAGGACCAGAGGUUCUACCAGCACAUCCUGCAGAUGGUCAAGAUCUCCAGGUGGCCGGAGGGCCUGGGGCUGCCUGAGAGCAUGCAGGACAUGCCGUGCAGACACAGCGCCAGCACAGUCUGUUGCAUGGCAGCUGAGUCUUCUAGGAUAUCUAGUGAGGGUGAGCAUGAGGCCAUCAGAGUCAUGGAGAGGGACUCGAGGUUUCUGUCAUGGGAGCCAGAGCUGCUGGAACAUCCUCAGGAGGUGGCCCUCGCCCCUGCUUGGCAAGAGGCCUCUCAGCAAGCCCAUUUCCAGCCAAGCAGCAGCACCCUCAGGCAGGGGCUAGUCCAGCAGAGCUCCAGCGGAGGGCUUACUACAGAGCCAGGCAAGAUGCAGCAUCUCAACCAGGCCCUGGGUUCCUCAUUAGCCCCAGUUCAUGUUCCUCUUGGGGGCCUGGCUCCUUUACGAGGUCUUGUGGAUACCCCACCCUCUGCUCUUCGUGGAUCUCAAAGCGUGAGCCUGGGGAGCUCAGUGGAGUCUGGACGUCAGCUUGGAGAACUCAUGCUGCCUUCACAGGGUCUCAAGACCUCUGCUUAUACAAAGGGUCUCUUGGGCUCCAUACAUGAGGACAAGACUGCUCUCGGCCUCUUGGGUUUAGGAGAAGAAACCAAUGAGGAGGAUGAGGAGGAAAGUGACAACCAGAGUGUCCACAGCUCAAGUGAGCCUCUUAGGAACCUACACCUGGACAUUGGGGCACUGGGGGGUGACUUUGAGUAUGAGGAGUCUCUGAGAACAAGCCAGCCAGAGGAGAAGAAGGAUGUUUCUCUGGAUUCAGAUGCUGCCGGUCCCCCUACUCCCUGCAAGCCCUCCAGCCCAGGUGCAGACAGCAGUCUGAGCAGUGCUGUUGGCAAAGGGCGACAGGGAAGUGGAGCAAGACCUGGUCUUCCAGAAAAAGAGGAAAAUGAGAAGAGUGAACCUAAGAUUUGCAGGAAUCUGGUGACCCCCAAGGCAGACCCUACAGGCAGUGAGCCUGCCAAAGCCUCUGAAAAGGAAGCACCAGAGGACACAGUAGAUGCAGGAGAGGAGGGUUCCAGGAGGGAAGAGGCAGCCAAGGAGCCAAAGAAGAAGGCUUCUGCUCUGGAAGAGGGCAGUUCAGACACCAGCCAAGAACUGGAAAUUAGUGAACACAUGAAGGAACCACAGCUCUCAGACUCCAUAGCUUCUGACCCCAAGUCCUUCCAUGGCCUGGACUUCGGUUUUCGCAGCCGGAUCUCGGAGCACCUGCUGGAUGUUGAUGUGCUUUCCCCAGUCCUGGGUGGAGCUUGUCGGCAGGCCCAGCAACCACUGGGAAUAGAAGACAAGGAUGACAGCCAGUCCAGCCAAGAUGAGCUGCAGAGCAAGCAGUCCAAAGGCCUGGAGAGGUACCAUAGGUUAUCUCCUCCACUUCCACACGAGGAGCGGGCCCAGAGUCCCCCUCGCAGCCUGGCCACUGAAGAAGAGCCCCCCCAGGGCCCCGAGGGGCAGCCCGAGUGGAAGGAGGCAGAGGAGCUUGGGGAGGAUUCUGCAGCCAGCCUCAGCCUGCAGCUGUCCCUCCAGAGGCGAUCCACAGAGCCUGUGGCUCCCCCAGAGCAGCUCUCAGAGGCUGCACUAAAGGCCAUGGAAGAGGCAGUGGCCCAAGUACUCGAGCAAGACCAGAGGCACCUGCUGGAAUCAAAGCAAGAGAAGAUGCAGCAACUGCGGGAGAAGCUGUGCCAAGAGGAGGAAGAGGAGAUCCUCCGGCUUCACCAGCAGAAAGAGCAAUCUCUCAGUUCCUUGAGGGAGCGGCUGCAGAAAGCCAUUGAGGAGGAGGAGGCCCGGAUGAGAGAGGAGGAAAGCCAGAGGCUAUCCUGGCUCCGAGCUCAGGUCCAGUCCAGCACACAAGCAGAUGAGGACCAAAUCAGGGCUGAGCAAGAGGCUUCCCUGCAGAAACUGAGAGAAGAGUUGGAGUCUCAACAGAAGGCUGAGAGGGCCAGCUUGGAACAGAAAAAUAGGCAAAUGCUGGAGCAGCUCAAGGAAGAGAUAGAGGCUUCGGAGAAGAGCGAGCAGGCUGCCCUGAAUGCUGCAAAGGAGAAGGCUCUGCAGCAGCUGAGGGAGCAGCUGGAAGGGGAGAGGAAAGAAGCUGUGGCAACGCUGGAGAAGGAGCACAGUGCUGAGCUGGAGCGGCUCUGCUCCUCAUUGGAGGCCAAGCACCGGGAGGUGGUCUCCAGCCUCCAGAAGAAGAUAGAGGAAGCUCAACAGAAAGAGGAAGCCCAGCUGCAGAAGUGCCUUGGGCAAGUGGAGCACAGAGUUCACCAGAAGGCUUAUCACGUGGCUGGGUAUGAGCACGAGCUCAGCAGUCUCCUGCGAGAGAAGCGCCAGGAAGUGGAAGGGGAGCAUGAGAGGAGGUUGGACAAGAUGAAGGAGGAGCACCAGCAAGUGAUGGCUAAGGCCAGAGAGCAGUAUGAAGCUGAGGAGAGGAAGCAGCGGGCUGAGCUUCUGGGGCACCUGACCGGAGAGCUGGAGCGCCUGCAGAGGGCCCAUGAACGAGAACUGGAGACUGUGAGGCAGGAGCAACACAAGCGUCUUGAGGACUUGCGGCGCCGGCACAGGGAGCAGGAAAGGAAGCUCCAGGAUUUAGAGUUGGACCUUGAAACCAGAGCUAAAGAUGUCAAGGCCAGAUUGGCUCUGCUGGAGGUCCAGGUGAGGGAUCUGCAGGAGUCCUUGACCUCAGAGUCAUAGCUUCUCUAGCAGAGGGCAGGCUCUGCCCCUCAGACCUGGGGUCUACAGUCAGCCAGAAAAUCCUGUCUCUUCCCUGCAAGGAGGAGACCGCCCGGAGGGAGAAGCAGCAGCUGCUUGAUGUGCAGAGGCAGGUUGCUCUGAAGAGUGAGGAAGCCACAGCCACCCAUCAGCAGCUGGAGGAGGCACAGAAGGAGCACACCCACCUGUUGCAGUCAAACCAGCAGCUCCGAGAAAUUCUUGAUGAGCUGCAGGCCCGCAAGCUGAAGCUGGAGUCCCAAGUGGAUCUGCUGCAGGCUCAGAGCCAGCAACUGCAGAAACACAUCAGCAGCCUGGAGGCUGAAGCUCAAAAGAAGCAGCACCUGUUGAGAGAAGUGACAGUUGAGGAAAAUAAUGCUUCCCCACAUUUUGAGCCAGAUCUCCACAUUGAGGACCUGAGGAAAUCCCUUGGAACAAACCAGACCAAAGAGGUGUCUUCUUCUCUCUCCCAGAGCAAGGAGGACUUAUACUUGGACAGCCUGUCCUCCCACAAUGUCUGGCACCUCCUCUCUGCUGAGGGGGUAGCCCUCCGUAGUGCCAAGGAGUUCCUUGUGCGGCAGACACGCUCCAUGCGGAGGCGGCAGACAGCUCUGAAAGCUGCCCAGCAGCAUUGGCGCCAUGAGCUGGCCAGUGCGCAGGAGGUGGCCAAAGACCCACCAGGCAUCAAGGCCCUGGAAGAUAUGCGCAAGAACCUGGAGAAGGAGACCAGGCACCUGGAUGAGAUGAAGUCGGCCAUGCGGAAAGGCCACAACCUGCUGAAGAAGAAAGAGGAGAAGCUGAAUCAGCUGGAGUCCUCUCUUUGGGAAGAGGCCUCAGAUGAGGGCACUCUGGGAGGAUCCCCCACCAAGAAGGCAGUAACCUUCGACCUCAGUGACAUGGACAGCCUGAGCAGUGAAAGUUCUGAAUCUUUUUCCCCGCCUCACCUCGACUCAACCCCGAGUCUCACCUCCCACAAGAUCCACGGGCUUAGCCACUCCCUCCGGCAGAUCAGCAGUCAGCUGAGCAGUGUCCUCAGCAUCCUGGACAGCCUCAACCCUCAGUCGCCGCCGCCGCUUCUCGCCUCCAUGCCAGCCCAGCUCCCUCCCCGGGACCCUAAGAGCACCCCCACCCCCACCUACUAUGGCUCCCUGGCCAGGUUCUCAGCCUUAUCAUCUGCUACACCCACGUCCACCCAAUGGGCCUGGGAUUCAGGGCAGGGGCCCAGGCUCCCCUCUUCUGUGGCUCAAACGGUGGACGACUUCCUGUUGGAGAAGUGGCGCAAGUAUUUUCCAUCUGGCAUCCCGCUGCUCAGCAACAGCCCCGCCCCGCUGGAGAGCAGGCUGGGUUACAUGUCUGCCAGUGAGCAGCUCCGGCUCCUACAGCACUCCCAUUCCCAAGUCCCUGAGGCGGGCAGCACCACCUUUCAGGGCAUAAUUGAGGCCAACCGGAGGUGGCUGGAACGUGUCAAGAAUGACCCCAGGUUACCUCUCUUCUCUUCAACACCCAAGCCAAAAGCUACUUUGAGCCUCCUGCAGCUGGGCCUUGAUGAGCACAACAGAGUGAAGGUAUAUCGCUUCUGAGGCCCUGAGCAGGGGCUUGGGGCAGCCCAGCCUCUCCUCCACCCAGACCAAGUGCCUGAGGAGCUGCCUGCCUUCUUCAAUCUGAGAAAGCACCCUCCUUCCCCUUUUGACUUGCAGGAGCCACCAGGGACCAGGGGGUUGAGUGGAACAGUAAAGCCACACAUUCUGUGACUAU